UUCACAGAUGAAUCGUCUGUUGCCCUUGAGCGGUUCUCCAGAAUGUCAUUCAGGAAACGUAACCAUAUCUCUUUAAAACCACGCCCAAAGCAUCCAUUGAAAGUCCAUGUAUGGGGAGGCAUAUCACGAUUAGGAGCUGGUCCCCUAUUAUUUUUCGAAGGAAUCAUGGAUAAGAAAUUUUUCCAAGAAACAAUAGUAGAGGAAUGUAUGGUACCAUUUGUGAAUAAAUAUUACCCAACUCACCAUAGGAUAUUCCAAGACAAUGAUCCUAAACACUCCGCCUCAGCCAAAUUUAUGGAAGAGAAAGGUAUGAAUUGGGAACGCACACCACCAGAAUCACCAGACAUGAACCCAAUCGAAUUAGUGUGGGCUCAAUUGAAGAGGUACGUUAGGAGUGUUGCAAAGCCAACAACAAAACAGCAACUGGUGGAUGGGAUAAAGAAAUUUUGGCUAGAAGUACUCACACC